UUUCUUAGGAACAUCCCUUAGGUUGUGUGUGUGUCAUGCUCUUGUCUGUGUACUCUUAGUAUUUCUAAGUAAUUAUCUCAUUUUCCUUGACUCGAUUGAUGUUCUGUUUCUUUUUGUGAAACAGAACCAUGGCACCUAGACUUCCACCUCCUCCACCUCCUCAAAAUGAACCCUCUGUGAUUGGAAACAUUGUAAUUAAGUUAAUGACCAACUGUUUUUAUCCUAUGUUUGAAACCGUUUUCUUAGAUCUGUGUUUGCAUUUCUAUUUGCAUCAGUGUUUUAAUUUUAUUCCUCCGUAUUCAUCACAAACUUUUCACAAUCCCCCCCGC
rnacentral:lncRNA from 1 species